rnacentral:rRNA from 1 species
CACGUAGGGUGCAAGCGUUGUCCGGAUUUAUUGGGCGUAAAGAGCUCGUAGGCGGCUUGUCGCGUCUGCCGUGAAAGUCCGGGGCUCAACCCCGGACUUGCAGUGGGUACGGGCAGACUAGAGUGUGGUAGGGGAGACUGGAAUUCCUGGUGUAGCGGUGAAAUGCGCAGAUAUCAGGAGGAACACCGAUGGCGAAGGCAGGUCUCUGGACAGUUCCUGACACUGAGGCACGAAGGCCAGGGGAGCAAACGGG